AUCUGACCAUAGCUGAAUUGUUUUGAAUGCCAGAGUAAAUAAACUGUUUUCCUCGUUUAUAGUGACACUGCCACCACGCUCACUGACUAACACGUAGUUAUUAUUGCAUACUAGAUGAAGCUGCCAUACUUCUCUCCUCUCUCAAGAUCGAUUGUGACAAGCCCAAAAGAUCAUCAUUAGUUGUGUGUUUUUGCCAUUCACUAGACAAGCGUUGGAAGGGGUCACCGGCACAUUAUUGAUGAAACAACGCCGUCGACGAACAAAUAAAGGACUGUGAGUGGCAGCAACCAUCGUAACGGAGCCUCCCGCAGGUAGCUGUUGGCUGUGAACACCUGCCCGGGGAAGGAAGUAACUUGGUAUGGUGUAUCGGCCGUGGCCAUGACCACCACAUACUUGCAAUGGUCUUUGAUUCCCAGCUAUGGGGCAUCUGUACAUCAGACAUGCUCCAGGGCAGGGGAGUUGUUGAAUAGUAUACCUUAAAUGAGAGCAAGGUUAACUUUGUUAUGAAAAAAAAAAUCUCACAAAUAAAGACCACAGACCUUUAAAGGUACAGAGGUGAAAAAGACACAAAAUAUGCUCUCUGGUAAGUAAAGAAAUAGCAGGAAAUAUUGAGCAUCUUUGUGGGACAAACAACUGAGUAGCAAGUUUAAUAAUCAAACUGAGCAACACAGUUUUAAUACUUACAUAUCGUUAUAAAUAUUGUGGUGUACGAGUAUAUGAAGUAUAAUGCAUAUUUCAUUAAUUUUGCCAUACAUAUAGUAGUUUUACAUGUACCUGUGAUAAAGGAGAGUUUAUUAAGCUUUAAUUUUGUAGACUGCAAUUGCUUCUCCUGUUGUAUGAGUAUUAUGUGAUUCUGAUUUCAGUGUUAUAAGAAAUGCAUAUCCUUCUUUUCCAUUAUUUUGGUUUUCUCAUCCAAACCACACCACUCCUGACAUCUCUUCCCACAUUUGUUAUUUACUUGUGUUCAUGCACUCUAUCACUCCACAACCUUUUUUAUGAGUUUUCAGUACUUGAAAAAUGCUUUGUGUUACUGUUAUUGAGGUGCCAGUCAUGUGACAUCACAGAUCAUGGACCACUACUCCUCCAUCUCAUCAGCCAUCUCCACAACUGCCUUUACACAGUAUUCUCCAUCCAUAACUGUGAAUUUAAUUCUCUGACGUCUUCUCUCUCUUCCCUUUACUCUGUCUAGUAAGCAAUGGCUCUCAAGCCUUUUCUCUCAGCACAUGACCCAGAGAUUUUAAUGGUCUUAUUCUUCUAUAUUUCAUUAAUUGUUUCUGCUUUCCAGUUCUCUGCAACACUUCCUCAUUUUUAAUUGUCAGUUCAUGGAAUUCUCAUGAAAAAUGAUGAGAAAAAUGUCUAGUCUUCCUCUUUUGAAUUUCACAUCUUCCCUUCUGUUCUCCUCAACACUUGUACCAUGUACCAUAGAUGCCACUCACCAAAUUUCACCUCCUUUGCUCAAGCUAGAGCAAGGUCGUACCCAUGGUUAUCCUGUCUUCUACAAUGUCAUCUGGCAAGACUGGUGCAUUGCUGUUCCCAGAAAGGGAAGGGCCCCCAGAAUGUCACUAAGAGGAUUGCAACACUUACAGUUUGUAGUGACAACAGCAUGGUCUGACAAUUAAGGAGUUUGAUCCUCAACCAGUUGUGGCCUCAUGGCCAAAGAUUUAUCCUACCCUCAGAUAUGUAAUUUUCUCAGUUCUUCCAUGAAGUUCCCAAAGGGGGAAUUACAUUAGUAGCAACAGUAAAAAAGCUCAUUUAGUAAUAUAUGUUGUGUAACGGUAGAAGAAAACUCAGUGUUGUCACAUGCCUCAAAAACUCACUUCCUCCAUCUCUCAACAUGACACUAUCAAGCUAUCCUUUCUUCAGUCACACUCAGCUG